rnacentral:lncRNA from 1 species
AAUGAGAAGAGAAGCAGCUGGAGAAAGGAGCUCGGAGGAACGGCCCAGGGUGCGCGGCUCACCUCUUUUCAAGGGUGAUGCAACAGGGUCAGACCGAAGAAGGGAAGGAGCCGGGAAGGAGCAAACCAGUGUCCGGCUGGAAACGGGAGGGAUGCACGGGCGGCAGGGGAAGGGGCCUAGGAGAGGAGGGCGGGCGAGGGCAGCGGGUCCCAAGCGGGGCGGCACGAGGGACCCGGGGGGGACAGGCAGGAAGGGUGGGCGCCGCCGGGCCUCCGAGGACAGACACUCAAGGAGGACGGGGUGACCUGGCCCGAGGUGGGGACCGAGGGCGAGUUCUGCACCGGGGACGGGAGGGGCCCCGGGGCUGCGGGAGGGAGCAGAGCCCGGGCCCGGCCGCGGCGGAGGCGCGAGGACCCCGCGGGCUGAGGGGCGACAAGACCCAAGCGCCAUUCAGGUCCCAUCCUGCAAAACAACUGUUACCCGAUCCCAGAAACAGUUUAAGGAUAGCCAAACAUAUGCAUUUUUAAAACACACCUCUGGAGGUUGAGGCAGGAGGAUCUUGAAUCCAAGACUUUUUUUUCCCCAGACCACCCCAAGCAGAGAAGAUUCGACAUCUGAUAUCAGCUAUGGAAAACAAAAACAACCUCGUGCUCAAGGCAUCUUCGCUGAAUGAGUCAACAAGCCUGGUAAAUGAUACGCUUUUGUUGGAUGAAAAAACUCAUGCUCUACAAAAAUAUGGCCAUAGCAGAGUCCAUAUUCUCAACAACAGUAUUAAUGUGUUUAUCUUUCCUUGAAGUGUCGACAAUGCAAGACAUGUAAAGACAAAAUGCCUCUGGAGCCAAUCCAUACUUUUUUAUACUUUUUGUGUCUAUGGUGCUGGGGAUCAAAACAGAGCCUCCUGCUUGCUGGGAAACCAUCCCACCACUAAGCUACAGCCUCGGCACAUUUUAUUUGGAGACAAUUCUAGAUUAACAGCCAGUUGUAAGAAAUAAUACAAUGACAUCCCUGUACUGUUCACCCAAUGUCCUCAUGCUAACAUCUUACAAAACCACAGCACAAUAUGACAAGGCAGACAUUGACAUCAUUAAUACAGUGAAUAUACACCAG